rnacentral:rRNA from 1 species
GUUUGAUCAUGGCUCAGGAUGAACGCUGGCGGCGUGCCUAAUGCAUGCAAGUCGAACGGUCUGAUUUAUCAGAUAGUGGCGAACGGCUGAGUAAUGCACAGGUGACCUGCCCUCGAGGGGGGGAUAACCCCGAGAAAUUGGGGCUAAUACCGCAUGUGGCUCCAUCAAUGUGUUGAUGGAAUUAAAGCCUUCGGGCGCUUGAGGAGGGGCUUGUGUCCUAUCAGGUUGUUGGUAGGGUAACGGCCUACCAAGCCUUAGACGGGUAGCUGGCCUGAGAGGAUGGUCAGCCAGACAGGGAAUGAGAGACGGCCCUGACUCCUACGGGAGGCAGCAGCAAGGGAUAUUGCGCAAUGGGCGAAAGCCUGACGCAGCGACGCCGCGUGGGGGAAGAAGGCUUUCGGGUUGUAAACCCCUUUUCUUGGUGAAGAGUUAGGACGGUAGCCAAGGAAUAAGUCUCGGCUAACUACGUGCCAGCAGCCGCGGUAAUACGUAGGAGGCGAGCGUUAUCCGGAAUCACUGGGCGUAAAGGGCGUGUAGGCGGCCCCUUAAGUUGACUGUGGAAUCUCCCGGCUCAACCGGGAGGGGUCAGACAAAACUGGGGGGCUAGAGGGCAGUAGAGGAAGGUGGAAUUCCCGGUGUAGCGGUGGAAUGCGUAGAUAUCGGGAGGAACACCAGUGGCGAAGGCGGCCUUCUGGGCUGCCCCUGACGCUGAGGCGCGAAAGCGUGGGGAGCGAAGUGGAUUAGAUACCCACGUAGUCCACGCCAUAAACGGUGGACACUAGGUAUAGGGGGUAUCGACCCCCUCUGUGCCGAAGCUAACGCUUUAAGUGUCCCGCCUGGGGACUACGACCGCAAGGUUAAACUCAAAUGAAUUGACGG